rfam:Dipodomys ordii contig_5613, whole genome shotgun sequence.
GGGAAGGUGGCUCAGUGGUAGAGUGCUUGCCUUGUAUGCAUGAGGCCCUGGGUUUGAUUCCUCUGAACCA